GGAAGGGGGACAGGUGGAGGGAUGGAUGGACGGACGGAUGGACAGACACAGGGAUGGCUGGCUUCAGCAAGGCUCAUCCCCGUGCCAGUCGGGGGCUGGGAGCGCUCCUGGCAUGGCACCGACCCGCUGCUGUGUGUCCCCCCCGGGAACACGGGGCGUGCAGAGCCCUGGAGAGAUCCCCACGCUGGUGACACGGCCUGGGGCUGAGCAAAGCCCCCUCCCUGCCCCGGGGUCCCAUUUCUGUGUGCGGGGCGAUCCGUGUUGCCGAAGGAGCUGCCACCUCAUCCCUCCCCCCGCGCUCUACGGAGAGGAAACUUUUUAGCACGCCACAAUUCUUUGCAGAAAUUUACAGCCCAUGAGGGAGCCGUGCAGCGGGGCUGCUCUCUCCGCGCACGCUCGCAGGGUUUCCUCCCGGCGGAGGCAGCUUUGAUGCGACCCAUGCAGCCCGGCCGUGCACACCCCCAGCCCCUGCCCCGGCAGCCCCCGGCCCAGCCGGCCCUUCCUGCGGAAACGCAGUAGAGGCAAAGCGUUCCCCGAGCAGCGCUGUGCGUGCUGCUGUGCAAAGGGACGGCCGCAAACCCCCGCAGAGCUGCCCGUGCCCUCCUCCCAGCUCCCGUUCCUGCCCUUGAAGGACAGGAUCCAGCUGGCAUGGAGUGUGGCCAGCGGGCAGAGUGUCCGGACGCGGUUCCUGUCCCAGUCCCGCUGCUGACUCACGGUGCAAUGGGCUUGCACACGGGGUGAAGACGUGGCGUUUGCAGAGCUGAGAGCACCCAGCGCGGUGCAACUGCACUCAGCAGCAGAGUAGAGUCAAUCCCACGGCAGCAUGGACUGACCCCACAUCUAUCCCCAUCAGAGCACCCAACGCCCAGCACAGUGCCUGUCCACUGGCACAGCACUGGGUACCAGCACAGCAUCCAUCCCCACCCCACAAGUCCCUGUGCCCCAUCUCACAGCUGCUCCCGGCCCCCGCCACUCCCAGCGCCGACACACGGACCAGGGGGUUUGGUCACCUUUAUUCCCAGAGCAGCAGCGGGUGUCCCUUGGAGACAACCCCAUGGAGAAGGGGCUGUGGGAUGCAUCUGAGGAUGGAGCAGGCGGCUCUGGGGCACAGCACAGGUGAGCCUGGAGUGGCGGUGGGAAGGCUGGGGGUGGUGUGUGCCCCGGCACAGGUUUGUCCUGGUUCGUGUGUGUCCCAGUUCGGCGGUGCCCUGCUUCGGCGGUGCCUGGGUCUGGCUUUGUCCCGUCCCAGUUCCACGUGCCCCAGCUCGACUCACUCCCUCCCGGUUCAGAGAUGUUCCGGCCCAGCUGUGCCCGGUUGGGUGCUGCUCCGGUUCGGUGCUGCACCGGUUUGGGGAUGUCUCAGUCUGGAGAUAUCCUGGUUCGCAGAGUUCCUGCUUCGUGAUGUCCGGUUCGGGCCGGUCCCGGUUCGGAGAUGUCUCGCUUCGCGAUGUCCCGGUCCGGUCCCUCCCCGUCCCGUUCCCGCGGCACACGGUCGCCACCUCCCGGCCGCCAGUGACACCCACCGGCACCGGGACCCCCCGCGACCCCAUCCCAACCGCAGCGCCUGAGGCGGGCGCGGUGCCCGGCUCAGCCCCGGGCCGGGGGGUUCCGACUCAGAGCAGUUCGGGCGUGGAGGAGCCCAGGUAGGUGCGGAGGUCGCUGAGCGUGGACGGGAUGAUCUUGGCGGGGAUGGUGUCCCGGUUAAGCUCGCGGUGCGCCGCGUAGCGGUGACACCCCCCGAAGGAGUAGAAGUAGUCCCCGCCCUGGCUGCCCUUGAUCCAUAGCACGUCGAUGGGGGGGACCUGCUCGGGGUCCUCCUGCAGGGUCCGCACCAAACUCCGCACUUUCUCCGGCUCCAACACAGAGGGGAUGGGCCGGAUGAGGACGCUCAUGGGCACGUUGUGUACGGCGGCGAUGUGCUGCGUGUGGAUACUCCCGGUGCCGCCGUUCCCCUCCUCCUCGGCCAUGGCCACCGCCGCCACCUCCGGCCGCCGCUCCGCCGCUCCGCGCCCCGCACCGCCCCCCCCCGCCCCGCGCAGCGCCGCUCCCCGCAGCGCCGCCCGCCCUCCGCCCGCCGCCAUCGCCGCGCUUUGCAGCGUCACGGUGAGACCGCGGAAGGGGUUGGUCCCGCAGCCCGGGGGCGGCGGUGCCGUCGGGGAUGGGGCAAUGGGGCACUGAGCAGCCCGGGGGCCGUGCGCUGAGGAUCGGAGAGUGGGGUCACCGCCUGGAGCUGCGUGGAACCGACACGGAUAGACCGGGGGGUGGGGGGGGGAGGGGAGGAGGAGUCGGGGGGAGCUUCAGCCGUGGGUCUGUAUUCGUGGAGCUGUGGGAUAUCCCGGAUUAGAAGAAACAGAGGUCACCGGGUCCGGUUCCUGGCUGGGAUGGAUGUUCUGGGACAUUUCUGGGUCAUUUCUUGGAAUCAAUGUCCCCAGUGGUGGAGAGGUUCUGGGGAAAAGUUUGGGUCCCCCACGCCCCCUGUUCCGAGCCCCCCACACCCCUGUCCCGAGCCCUGUACACCCCCUGCCCCAGCUGCACGGUUCUCUAUCCCCAGUGCUGACUCAGGGUCACAUCCCAUGGGCAGCGUCCCACGCAGCGCUGGGUGACCCCUCCGCCCUUCACCGCUGACGGUGAGGAUGAGGAAGGACAGCACAGCAGAGCCCCAUUGGUGGAUUCGGGACACAACACCCCGUGAUCCCAGCUGGGCAGUUCCCACAAUCCCCACCCCACUGCUGGGACUCCGCACUUUGCUUUGCUUUGCUUUCAGAUCGGUGCUCUGCUGCUGCUGCUCCCCCUGGUGCUUUCUGCAAGCGGGAUGCAGUGCCGAUAUUGGGGUGCAGUGCUGAUAUUGGGGUGCAGUGCCGAUAUUGGGGUGCAGUGCCGAUAUUGGGGUGCAGCACUGCUUGCAGAGCCCUCACUGCAGGUGCCACCGCUGCCCUCUGAGGAUGUGCACGGAGCACCUGCUGCCCACCCACCGCCGCGUGCACAAACAGCCCGAGACACACCUGGUAGUGGCAGAAGUCCCUUUUAUAUCCCUGAAUUGCAUUACAAGUAAUACUGCGGGCGGUCGGUUCUCCUCUUACCGCGGCCUGUCCAAUACAAAACCUGGCAGAAAAAGAAAAGCGAUCAUGCACGGAAAAAAUUAUUGCUGUGGUAUCCGCUAUGUACAGUAUAACACACGGGGCAGCCCCGCGCGCUGCGCUGCCCGAGGGGACGCACGAAAAACGCUGCGGCUCGGGCUGCCCACGGGGCUCAAAGUGACCCUGGGAGCCACGGGCACGGCGGGAGGAAGACUGCGGUGGGAGGAAGACGGAGCAGGAAGACUGCAAAGGGAGAGCCGGGCUGAGCCCCUGGGUGCCGAGGCCCGAGGUAGGAGCGGCUCGCUGCGGGACGGGGGUUGCAUAGAAUCGCUGCUUCGUCCCCGUGCAGGGAGCAGAGCGGGAGCUGGCGGUGUGGGGUUCUGUCUCUUGGGGCUGCGUCCCCAUCCGUGUCCCGGCGGCUGCGUCCCGGGCACGGCGAUCCGCCUCCGGUCUUGGCAAAUAAAUAGUGAAAAGCAGAAGGAAUAAAUAAUAUAAAUAAGAGCGUCAAUUAAAUAGACUCACCCGGGCUCUGCGGCGCCACUGACCC
rnacentral:lncRNA from 1 species